UCUUGUCAGAAACUAGAACUGGCCAAGGCCAACAUGCAGCUCCUAUAUGAGCGUCUUCUCAGAAGAAAACAGCUACGAACACAGAAAGACAACCAUCUAGAGGAAAUGGAUGUAGAAGCUCGACUUACUGAACUAUGUGAAGAAGUUAAGAAAAUAGAGAAUCCUGAUGAACUGGCAGAACUUAUAAAUAUGAAUCUUGCACAACUUUGCUCACUUUUGAUGGCUUUGUGGGGACAGUUUCUGGAAGUUAUAACGCUACACGAAGAACUAAGAAUAUUAUUAGCACAAGAGCACCAUACUUUGAGGGUAAGUUAAAGAGAAGGGAUUUUAGAGCAUUUUAAUGAGUAUUAUUUACCUGUAGAAAAUUUUUAUGAAAACAAACCUGAUUUUUACCUAUAUAUUGAUAAAUCAGAAAAGAGACAUUUAUCAUAAUGUUAUUGUUUGACUUCCAAAAUUAAUAAUAGAAUGGAACAAUACAGUUACUCAUAUGACCUAUUUCAAUCACAAUCCCCGCUGCUAAGAAAAACCACCUAAAAGUGAGUAAAAUAGGAAAAUAUAUGAUACAGAAUAGAAUAGGAACCUAAGAAUAGGAAUUAAUAGCCAAGCCUCAUUAGGGACAGGAAUCAGGAACUAGAGAGCUAUCUCAAACUUGUAUCUCCCUCUUCUCCUUUUCCUUCCCUUCUUCUAUUACUGACCUAAUAUAGGAAUGUGUAUUAUUAACUUAGCAGGAUGGAGGGGGCAGUCCACACAUUACACAUAUAUGUUUACUAUAGACCUAGUAUGGACAUUAUGCAGGUAUUUCUAUGUAAUUUUAUUGUAUAGCAUCUCAAGAGGUUUUACAUGUUAAAUAACUGACUAUCUUUCCAUCUUGUUUCCUUAUAUACUCUGCAUGCACCCUGAUUUUACUUUACGUACUAGGAGUUCCUCCAAACAUCAUUAAUAUUUUUCCUUUUUUAAAAAAAUUUUCUUAAUUAUAAAACAUAACACAUAAAGUCAGAAAAUGCAUAAAACAGGCACAUUUUAUCAAGUAAUUAAAGCAUACACCCUUUCAGUUAUUAUCCAGAUCAAGAAGUAGAACACUUUCAACACUACAGAUAUUCUCUCUGUGUCUUUUCCAAUUACCAUAUCCUUCCUAAUACUUAGAAGUAAUCACUAUACUGUCUUUUGUGAUGAUGAGUUCCUUCUGUUUUAGUUUUAUCACCUAUGUAUGCACACUAAAUAGUAGAGGUUGUUUCCACCUGUUAUUGAAUUCUAUAUAGAUGAAAUUGUACAGUAGUAUUCUUCUCUAUCUUGCUUUUUCACUCAAGACAUUAGGUUAUUAAUCCAUCUUUUUUGACAGUACCUGUAGAUUGUUCAUUAUCAUUGCUGUAAUAUAUCUCCAUUUGAAUAUACCCACAUUUAUUUAUCCAUUCUACUGUUGGUAGAUUCUUGGAUUACUUCUAACUUGUGGCUAUUACAAACCAAGCUGCUAUGAACAUUCUUAUGUAUAUGUCCUGGCAUACCAGUUUCUCUGAAAUACUUACCUGUGAGGGAAAUUGCUGAGUCAUAGGUUAUGCAUAACUUCAAUUUUACUAGCUAAUGUGACAGUUUUCAGAGUUGUACCAAUUUUUACUCCCACCAGCACAGUUUGUUACUCCACACACUCUCCAACUCUUGAUACUGGCAAGCUUUUUAAACUUUGCCAAACUGAUGGAUGUGAAAUGGUAUAUUAUUGUGGCUUUAAUUUGCAUUUCUCUGAUUACCCAUGCAGUUGAGCACUGCUUUGUGUGAUUAUUGGUUAUGUAGGUUUGCUCCGUAUGAAGUGCCUAUUCUAAUGUUUUCCCAUUUCUAAUAAGAUUACUUUUUUCUUCUUUGUUUCUGAUACUUUUCUGUGUCCUUUGUUAUGUGUUUUUACUAAUAGGUCCUCUCUCAUUUCAUGGUUUGUUGUUUUCAUUGACUUUAUAUUGUUUUUUAAUGAACUGGAGGUCUUAAGUUUAGAAUAGAAGGAAACUAAGAGAAAGGCCAGACAUGGACAUAGCCAUUUUUGGACAUAACAUAUGUGGAUCAGUGUAAAAGAUGGAGAUUUUUCAAUAAAUGAUGUUUGAGACAAUUGGGUAUCCAUGUGGUAAAUAUUAAAUAAAAUUCAGUUCCAAGUGGAUUGAAGAUUUAAAUGUGAAAGGCAAAACUGUAAAGCUUCUAAAGUAUGAUCAGAAACUUACAGAAGACUUUAAAAAGUUGGCCAGGAGCAGUGGCUCACACCUGUAAUCCCAGCACUUUGGGAGGCCAAGGCAGGUGGAUCACCUGAGGUCAGGAGUUCAAGACCAGCCUGGCCAAUGUAGUGAAACCCCAUCUCUACUAAAAAUACAAAAAUUAUCCAGGUGUGGUGGCAAGUGCCUGUAAUCCCAACUACUUGGAAGGCUGAGGCAGGUGGUCGAGUGGAGGUUGCAGUGAGCUGAGAUCACACCACUGCACUCCAGCCUGGGCAACAAGAGUGAAACUCCAUCUC
rnacentral:sRNA from 1 species